CAGACCCAAAGGCGCUAGAUCCAUUUUUGGUUUCGCACUCCAGCUCGUGAGGGCCACCUCUCCUUCCUCCCGACUAUCAUUGGGCUGACGGCCACCUCUUCUUCUCUAUCCAUGACGGCACACCUUCGAUCUGCACCGCUUGACAUAUUCAAGCUUUGAUUUGCCUCAUCUCCACCGCGUUAGCAGUCAAAGGCUCAGAGCAAUCUUGUCCUCACUCCCCCCGGCCUUCAUUCCCUCUCCAGAUUACGGCCUCUCGAGUUUCUACCCUGUUUUGAUAUCUCCUUAUCUUGUAUCUAUAUUUUGACUCUUUAUUAUGCUAUUUUUGAUAAUAUACGGGUGAUCGGCCUUGCUGAUUUGAAAUGAUUUAAUCCUUUGAAUAUUGCAAUCUAAUCAACUGCUCGGAUUGGUCCUUCUUUUUCCUUUUUCCUUUUCUAUUUAUGUUGCAUCUGAUUUCGAUUGCGAUUUUAUUAAUUAGCUUUGGAGACCCAAGAAUCUGAGUUCUAUUUCCUUUUUGCUGCUGGGUGCUUACCUAAAAUUUGUAAUCUGGUUCUAAAUAUUUGAAAGCGUAGAAGAGUAAACAUUCCACUAUGACAUAGUUCAACUGUUCAAUAUCCGGGAGUUUUUUUUUUUAAUUAUUAUUCUUGCAUUCAUUGACUAAAUCCUCAUUCAUGGAAUGUUAUUCUUAUAUCAUGUGUUAAUUACUAAAAUAAGAAAUUGUUUAUUGGCUAGUAUCAACUUGACUGCUUUCUUCAAGUUAUAGUUUUUCAUCCACAACUUGGAGAUAAGCUGAUACUUAUAUUUCUAUCUCAAUUGCUUCAAUCACCUUAGCUUUGUCAGGACUCUAGUUAUAAAAUGGAGUAGUCUGUUUCUAAGCCUCUGUUAAGUAAAUCUGACUUGGUUUUAUUCAUGUUUCAUGAGUCCUAGAAGGUUGCUGAGUUUGUAUUUAUGAAUUUUCAAUUAAUUGAAACUCGAACCUGACUUGGUUUCAUUCAUGUUUUAUGGUUCUUAGAAGGUUGCUGAGUUUGUAUUUAUGAAUUUUCAAUUAAUUGAAACUCUGGUUUGAGUUUUUGUUUGCAGCUAAGUAUGUUUGCUUAACUUAUGAGCUAAAGGUAUAUAUAGAUAUGUAAAGCUGUUCCUAUUUCUUUUCUGCUUUGACCUUUUGAAAUCUUCUAUUAUAGAUGUGAUUCCUUCUCGUAAAGCCAUGCUCCUCUAAAUAUAUGUUGUAAUGAAGGCAAUGCCUUGGUACAAUGACACUACAUAUAAGUAUGACAUUUUGAAGCUUGAAAUCAGGGACAGACAUGAACUGGAAUUAGACUUCAAGAGAUUUUGGGAAGAGUUUAGGUCAUCCAACUCUGAGAAGGAAAAAGAAGUAGCCUUGGAUCAGACUGUUGAUGCACUUUGUAGAUUUACAAAGCAACACAUUAACACAGCUUGGUUAUUUACCAUGUAAAGAAAAUGAUUUUUUUAUCUUUGCAUUGCUAUAUGCAUUCAAUUGUUUGAAACAAGCGAAUAGGUAACAAGUAGAACCUAGGGAAGUUUAAGCGUACAUUUUUGAAUUUAUUCCUACUGUGUGUGGGAUUUUGUAAUGAAGGGGAAAUGAUAAAUUAUUUAUAUGAGGUGUUACUGAUAAGCCCACGUGAUUUGUUUCAUACUUGAAAAUAGAUAAUUUCUUUGUUUCCUCCCUUUUCUCUUUACUUUUGUUCAAUGUUUGUGCAUUUCUUCUUAAUUUUCUUAUUUCCAAGCAUUAGUGCCAUGCCUAAUAUUUAGUGUCCAUGUUAAGAACUUUGAGGCAGGAGCAGGGUGGCAAUCAUGAAAUACAUUGUUCUAAGGAAAGAAGUAGAGCAGCUUGGAAGAUUGUUGAGGAGGACUUUUUACGUCACUUUUUAAAAGUGACGUGGUUUGCAGACAACCCAAAAGCGUCAUGGUUUCCCUUAUUCAUGUCCCUUCUAAAAGUGACAUGAAUAAGGUAAUUUUUCAUGUUCCUUAAUAUUGUGUUCCAUCCAAUAGUGACGUGAAAAGGUUUAAAAAUGUGAUGUUAAAAGUGUUUUUUGUAGCAGUGUUGGUUCAAAUUACCUAUCACAACAUGAUCAAAUUUAAUUUUUCAAUAAAAUUUUAUAAAUAUUUUAAUUUGAUAAUUUGAAUGUUUAUUGUGAUAAUCGAUGAUGUAUUCACUUAUUAUGCUAAUCUGCUUCAAUCCAACAGCAUUAAAUCUUUAAGAUCUGUUAAAUUAGUAAAACAUGGAAUAUAUUCAAUCCUAUUUAUCAAAAAAUAAAAGCAAAAAAAAAAAAGUUUGACAGAAUACAAAAUUCAACUAGCUAAUCAUGAAGCCCCGAGGCAAAGAAGGAAGAACAAUGAGAAAUAAAGAGAUGAGUGGGAGAGUUAGUGUGACAGAGAGUGCUAGGGUUAGUACUGGUGUGAGUUCGAGGGUUACAGGGGAGUCUUCAGGGAAGAUGAAUUCCGAUCAUUUGAUUGAAGAGGAGAAAGACGUGCUGGUUAGGAGCCCUAAGAAACUGAAUGAAGAUACAAUUAUGAGGGAUGCUAUGGGAACCCCCAAGAAGAAAAUGAAGAACAAAGGGAAUGCUUAUAACCCAUAGAUCUCUUACAAGGCGUCGUUGAUAGACAGUUAACCCUAAGAAGAAGAAUAGACUCUCGAAGAGUUGGUUAAGGAAUGGUUGAAAGAGGAAGAGUAGAUGGCGCCGAGCUUAACCCCAAAACAAGCAGCUAUGGAAACUCUACCUAAAGUGGAUGUUCUUGAUGAACGAUGGGUAGAGCUAUGUAGGCCGUGGAAAGACGCUCUAGUUAUCACAUUACUAGGUAGACAACGUAACAGGUAUCAAAUAAAGGACAAGCUUGAUCUUUUAUGGGGGUUUAAGGAUUAUGAAAUCAUAGACAUGCUUAAUAACUACUUCAUCAUCAGAUUUACGCUUAUGCAUCAUUGUAAGUUAGCACUGACAGAGGGGCUGUGGGUCAUUCAAGGCCAUUACAUGGCAAUUCAGAAGUGGAGUUCAAAUUUCAAUCCCUUUAGUAACACAAUGAAGAAACUCGUUGUUUGUGCAAGGGUCCCAAUUCUUCCCAUUCACUAAUAUAAUGUGGAGAUUCUUAAAGAACCAGGGAAUCUAAUAUGAGGCUACAGGUUGAAUAUAAUUUAAAGAAAGUUAACUAAUGUGCGUCCUGUGUGUGUAGUAUAGUAGAGACUCAAUCAUGUGUUAACAAAAUGAAUGCUUGAAUUGUGCCCAAAAACUAAAAAACAAAACAAAAGAAUGCUCGAUUUUUAUUUUACUUGAGUACUGCACAACAAAUCAAGGUCUUAGUUGAAAGAUAACUAACUUAAAUAUUCAUCAUCUUAUUAAAAAGGGGGGGUGGUUUACAUAUUGAUGAAAACUAGCUUGGGGGAGGAAAAAUUAUAUCAAAUUAAACACCAUACUUUAUAUUUAUUUUUAUUGAUGCCAUAUUAGUUCAUAUGUCAUUUCUUUAUCACAUAAUAGAAUGCAUUCCUAGUACAAAAAAAUUCCAUUUACAACCUCCGUUACUAAUUGAAAAAAUAUUAAUCCAUUACUACAAUAUCAUGGAAUAAAGCAUAAAAAGGAUAUCAAAAUAGGUGCAUAACAUCUCAUUAGCCCAAGUUGCUAAAGAUCUAUCUCUAAACAAUAUUCACAGUUGUUCUUCAACCAAUAUUUUGAUGAUCAUGGAUGUUUUAAAGAUCCUUUGAAAAUGUCACAUACCAUGCUUUUACUUUCCCGAAUGAUGCAUUAGAAGAUUAUGCAUAAAUGUUGAUCAACGAUAGUGAUUAAUUCUUAUACUAAUUUAUUGAUUGUAGGAUUUGCUUGUAUAGCAUCUUUUGUACAAAUAAAUUAAAACUGUUAGUCUUUUAUUUAUGAUAUUACAUUCGACAAUUUUUUUAUUUUAAAUACAAUGUCUUCAUCUAUAUUGUGCAUAUAUUUUCAAUUUAAUUAAAUGUAAUGCCUUUACUUUAUAAUUUAAGAACUUUUUAUUUUUAUUAUACUCAUACAACUAUUUUAUUUUGA